AUUGAACGCUGGCGGCAUGCUUUACACAUGCAAGUCGAACGGCAGCACGGGUGCUUGCACCUGGUGGCGAGUGGCGAACGGGUGAGUAAUGCAUCGGAACGUAUCCAAUAAUGGGGGAUAACGCAUCGAAAGGUGUGCUAAUACCGCAUACGCCCUGAGGGGGAAAGUGGGGGAUCGUAAGACCUCACGUUGAUGGAGCGGCCGAUGGCAUGUUAGCUAGUUGGUGAGGUAAAGGCUCACAAAGGCGACGAUCUGUAGAUGGUCUGAGAGGACGACCAGCCACACUGGAACUGAGACACGGUCCAGACUCCUACGGGAGGCAGCAGUGGGGAAUUUUGGACAAUGGGCGCAAGCCUGAUCCAGCCAUGCCGCGUGAGUGAAGAAGGCCUUCGGGUUGUAAAGCUCUUUCGCAAGGGAAGAAACGAUUCAGGAUAAUACCCUGGGUUAAUGACGGUACCUUGAUAAGAAGCACCGGCUAACUACGUGCCAGCCGCCGCUGUAA
rnacentral:rRNA from 1 species